UUCCUGGUGGUUCAGGGGUUAGGACUCGGUGCUUUCACGGCUGUGGUCCCAUGUUCAAUUCCUGGUCAGGGAA
rnacentral:tRNA from 1 species